AACGUAGGUUCCGAGCGUUAUCCGGAUUUACUGGGCGUAAAGCGCGUUCAGGCGGUUUGGCAAGUCGGGCAUGAAAUCUCUCGGCUCAACCGGGAGAGGUUGUCCGAUACUUCCAGACUUGAGGGCAGUAGAGGGUGGUGGAAUUCCGGGUGUAGUGGUGAAAUGCGUAGAUAUGCGGAGGAACACCGAUGGCGAAGGCAAUCCCCUGGGCCUGCACUGACGCUCAUGCACGAAAGCGUGGGGAGCAAACAGG
rnacentral:rRNA from 1 species